GAUGAACGCUGGCGGCGUGCCUAAUACAUGCAAGUCGAGCGCACGGACGAGAAGCUUGUUUCUAUGAUGUUAGCGGCGGACGGGUGAGUAACACGUGGAUAACCUACCUAUAAGCCUGGGACAACUUCGGGAAACCGGAGCUAAUACCGGAUAAUAUUUUGAACCGCAUGGUUUAAAAGUGAAAGAUGGUCUUGCUGCACUCUAUAGAUGGAUCGGCGCUGCAUUAGUUAGUUGGUAAGGUAACGGCUUACCAAGGCAACGAAGCAUAGCGGACCUGAGAGGGUGAUCGGCCACACUGGAACUGGGACACGGUCCAGACUCCUACGGGGGGCGGAGGUGGGGAAUCUUCCGCAAUGAGCGAAGUCCUGACGAGGCAACGCCGCGUGGGUAAUAAGGGUCUUCGGAUCUUAAAACUCUGUUGUAAGGAAGGAACAUGUGUGUAGGGGACUGUGCACAUCGUGACGGUACCUAAUCAGAAAGCCACGGCUAACUACGUG
rnacentral:rRNA from 1 species